UCCAUCCUGUGCUGCUCUGCAUCGGUUGUCAUAAUGAGGGCUCUGUUUAGACUGACCCAGGAAAGAGUCCUCUCCUUGGGGAAGAGAGAGAGGAGAACCAUCCUGGAGCUCUACGGCAGCUCCACUCCAGCUCAGCACUGGUGUACAGACAGCGUGGACAUCACCAUGACCCAGUCAGAAAUGUCUUAUUUUUAAGAAAUUCACAUUACAAGUAUUCUGGAUGACACCGUGGAAAAGGAACAACAGUAAAGGCCAUGGUGACCUCUGUGUGUGGCCUAGUAAAGUCUAGCCAGCACCAGCCACCUCAGUUUGUCCAAGUCCCCUUCCACCACUACAGCCAAGCCCUCCAGGCCACUAUACAGGCCCAUCAAAGGAAACAUGGACUACUCAUGUAGGCACAAGCAAAACAGAACACAAUAUUCUCCUUUGGGAAAAAUGUGUUCCCU